rnacentral:tRNA from 1 species
GGGCCGGUGGUUUAGGGGUAUAAUGCUUCGUUCGCAACGAAGAUGAUCGAGGGUUCGAUUCCCUCCCGGUCCA